rnacentral:rRNA from 1 species
UACGAAGGGGGCUAGCGUUGUUCGGAAUUACUGGGCGUAAAGCGCGUGUAGGCGGGUCCUUAAGUCAGGGGUGAAAUGCCAAGGCUCAACCUUGGAACUGCCUUUGAUACUGGGGAUCUUGAGUCCGGGAGAGGUGAGUGGAACUGCGAGUGUAGAGGUGAACUCGUAGAUAUUCGCAAGAACACCAGUGGCGAAGGCGGCUUACUGGACCGGUUCUGACGUG